GAAAUGCGAUAAGUAGUGUGAAUUGCAGAAUUCAGUGAAUCAUCGAAUCUUUGAACGCACAUUGCGCCCCUUGGUAUUCCAUGGGGAAUGCCUGUUCGAGCGUCAUUUGUACCCUCAAGCUCUGCUUGGUGUUGGGUGUUUGUCCCGUCUCCGCGCGUGGACUCGCCCCAAAGUGAUUGGCAGCCGGCGUACUGGUCCCGGAGCGCAGCACAUGUCGCGCAAACGAGUGCCUUGGUACGGCGGCGUCAAUACGCCCCUCUCUCACGCUCUUGACCUCGGAUCAGGUAGGGAUACCCGCUGAACUUAAGC
rnacentral:misc_RNA from 1 species